GAACAACAAAUGGUAAUGUAUGUGCAUAGAAAAUCAAAUAUGUACAAAGAGUUGAACUGUUAGAUACUGAUAGCUGCCUCUUUUGGUGGUGUCUACACUGCCGUUAUCAUCGAAGACUGCAAAGAAAACUGAUCAUAGCAUUAUGAAUGCAUCACAUGUUGUCUCUAUGUAAAUAAUAUUCUCAUUGAUGUAAAGAAUUUGUCAUCUUCAACCAUGCAACAUCCAAGAAUAGAUAUUUUGUUUCUA